GACGAACGCUGGCGGCGUGCUUAACACAUGCAAGUCGAACGGAAAGGCCCUGCUUUUGUGGGGUGCUCGAGUGGCGAACGGGUGAGUAACACGUGAGUAACCUGCCCUUGACUUUGGGAUAACUUCAGGAAACUGGGGCUAAUACCGGAUAGGAGCUCCUGCUGCAUGGUGGGGGUUGGAAAGUUUCGGCGGUUGGGGAUGGACUCGCGGCUUAUCAGCUUGUUGGUGGGGUAGUGGCUUACCAAGGCUUUGACGGGUAGCCGGCCUGAGAGGGUGACCGGCCACAUUGGGGCUGAGAUACGGCCCAGACUCCUACGGGAGGCAGCAGUGGGGAAUAUUGCACAAUGGGCGGAAGCCUGAUGCAGCAACGCCGCGUGCGGGAUGACGGCCCUCGGGUUGUAAACCGCUUUCGCCUGUGACGAAGCGUGAGUGACGGUAAUGGGUAAAGAAGCACCGGCUAACUACGUGCCAGCAGCCGCGGUGAUACGUAGGGUGCGAGCGUUGUCCGGAUUUAUUGGGCGUAAAGGGCUCGUAGGUGGUUGAUCGCGUCGGAAGUGUAAUCUUGGGGCUUAACCCUGAGCGUGCUUUCGAUACGGGUUGACUUGAGGAAGGUAGGGGAGAAUGGAAUUCCUGGUGGAGCGGUGGAAUGCGCAGAUAUCAGGAGGAACACCAGUGGCGAAGGCGGUUCUCUGGGCCUUUCCUGACGCUGAGGAGCGAAAGCGUGGGGAGCGAACAGGCUUAGAUACCCUGGUAGUCCACGCCGUAAACGGUGGGUACUAGGUGUGGGGUCCAUUCCACGGGUUCCGUGCCGUAGCUAACGCUUUAAGUACCCCGCCUGGGGAGUACGGCCGCAAGGCUAAAACUCAAAGGAAUUGACGGGGCCCCGCACAAGCGGCGGAGCAUGCGGAUUAAUUCGAUGCAACGCGUAGAACCUUACCUGGGUUUGACAUGGAUCGGGAGUGCUCAGAGAUGGGUGUGCCUCUUUUGGGGUCGGUUCACAGGUGGUGCAUGGCUGUCGUCAGCUCGUGUCGUGAGAUGUUGGGUUAAGUCCCGCAACGAGCGCAACCCUUGUUCACUGUUGCCAGCACGUUAUGGUGGGGACUCAGUGGAGACCGCCGGGGUCAACUCGGAGGAAGGUGGGGAUGACGUCAAGUCAUCAUGCCCCUUAUGUCCAGGGCUUCACGCAUGCUACAAUGGCUGGUACAGAGAGUGGCGAGCCUGUGAGGGUGAGCGAAUCUCGGAAAGCCGGUCUCAGUUCGGAUUGGGGUCUGCAACUCGACCUCAUGAAGUCGGAGUCGCUAGUAAUCGCAGAUCAGCAACGCUGCGGUGAAUACGUUCCCGGG
rnacentral:rRNA from 1 species